CCCAUUUACAGCGCUGUGGUGUAGGUUCAAGUUUUUGGCAAUAAGGAAUGAGAUCUGAAGGCUGCUACAGCUUAUGGAACUAAGAGACACAGACGAAGUGUUUUGGAAACCCUGGAGUUCACCGUUUGUCUCCUCCUUACCUGGGGCUUUCAGUGGAUUGGAUGGAGUGAAGGGGGCCCAGGGAUGGCAAGACCAACUCUAAAGCAUGAAAAGACAUGCAGUACUAUAGGCCUGGAUUUUGAGGGGCCUGGAAAGGACACUCAUGAAUAGAGUUUUUGCUUAUGCACUUGACUCAAGAACAGUUACUGAACGCUAAGACUUGCCUUCUAAGGACGCUUUUGCUACCUUCUAAUGUGUUAGAUGGCGAGUCUUCUCAUGCAGCGCUGUGUCAGGUCAUUGAAGAAAAUGAAGAACCAAGAAAUUAAAUAUAUGGAGUCCAGAGAAUCAAUACCAACUAUACUGCAGUUCAAGGCUCCCAAAUGGCCUCAAAAGACUUACCAAAUUUUGCUUUCCCACACAAUGAAGAAUUUCUGUUGCUCCCCAUCCUUGUCAACGUUUGGUGCUGUCAGUGUUUUGUAUCUUUACCAUUCAUUGUUUUAAUUUGCAAUUCCCUAAUGUUGAGCAUUCUUCUCAAAUUUUAUUAUUGACGACAUAUACUACCAGUUGUUUUCUUUUGACAAGAUCAUUUCAUUCAUUUCCAGGGAGUGUGUCUCAUGUACCCAAAUCUGUCAUCUGUUAUUUAAAGUAAAAAUGAUGCCUUGGAGUUAAAAAGAAAAGAAAAGAA